UACGAGAGGCCCAAACGUUAUUCGGAAUCACUGGGCUUAAAGAGUUCGUAGGCGGUCUAGUAAGUUGGGUGUGAAAGCCCUCGGCUUAACCGAGGAACUGCGCUCAAAACUACUAGACUUGAGGAAGAUAGAGGUAAGCGGAACUGAUGGUGGAGCGGUGAAAUGCGUUGAUAUCAUCAGGAACACCGGAGGCGAAGGCGGCUUACUGGGUCUUUUCUGACGCUGAGGAACGAAAGCUAGGGGAGCAAACGGG
rnacentral:rRNA from 1 species